rnacentral:rRNA from 1 species
AUUGAACGCUGGCGGCAGGCCUAACACAUGCAAGUCGAGCGGAUGAAUGGGGCUUGGUCCUGGAUGCAGCGGCGGACGGGUGAGUAAUGCCUAUGAAUCUGCCUGGUAGUGGGGGAUAACGUCCUGAAACGGGCGCUGAUACCGCAUGCGUCGUGAGGGAGAAAGUGGGGGGUCUUCGGACCUCACGCUUUCAGAGGAGGCUAGGACGGAUUAGCUAGUUGGUGGGGUAAAGGCGUACCAAGGCGACGAUCCGUAACUGGUAAGUGAGGAUGAUCAGCCACACUGGGGCUGAGACACAGUCCAGACUCCUACGCGAGGCGGCAGUGGGUAAUCCUGCGAUGCGGGCGGUGGCAUGACGGAGCUAGGCCGCGUGAAUGAUGAAGGUCUUAGGAAAGUACAAUUCUUUAACCGCGGACGAUAAUGACGGUACCCGCAGAAGAAGCCCCGGCUAACUUCGUG